GUGCUUGCUUCGGCAGCACAUAUACUAAAAUUAGAACAAUACAGAGAAGAUUAGCAUGGCCCCUGAGCAAUGACAACAUCAAAUUCAUGAAGCAUUCCAUAUUUUU